AUUGAACGCUGGCGGCAGGCCUAACACAUGCAAGUCGAGCGGAUGAAGGGAGCUUGCUUCUGGAUUCAGCGGCGGACGGGUGAGUAAUGCCUAGGAAUCUGCCUGGUUGUGGGGGAUAACGUCCGGAAACGGGCGCUAAUACCGCAUACGUCCUGAGGGUGAAAGUGGGGGAUCUUCGGACCUCACGCUAUCAGAUGAUCCUAGGUCGGAUUAGCUAGUUUGUGGGGUAAAGGCCUACCAAGGCGACGAUCAGUAACUGGUCUGAGAGGAUGAUCAGUCACACUAGAACUGAGACACGGUCCAGACUGCUACGGGAAGCGGCAGUGGGAAAUAUUGGACAAUGGGCGAAAGCAUGAUCCAGCCAUGCCGCGUGUGUGAAGAAGGUCUUCGGAUUGUAAAGCACUUUAAGUGGGGAGGAAGGGCAAUAAGUUAAUACCUUGAUGUUUUGACGUUACCAACAGAAUAAGCACAGGCUAACUUCGUG
rnacentral:rRNA from 1 species